CCUCGCUGUCCCGCGUCAGUGUGGCGCCUGCAGCCUCGAGGCCCUCGGGCCUGAGCCGCCGCCUCCUGCUCCUGCUCCUGCCGCAGCUGCUGCUGCUGAUCUCAGGAAACCCAGGCCAUCAGGUGCUGUCUCCGUUGACUCCCUCCAGCCCCCAGAGGCGCCUCUGAACCUCACUAUUCAUCGCCACCCUCCCCGCUUUCUGUCGGAAUCAGAGACAGGCCUCCAGUUCAAGGUUACAAAGGAGACAACACCAAACCAGGUGGGUUGGGUGAGCCAUUGCUUCAGGAAAACCUCAGUUCCUGGGAGGGUAUGUUCUGAAGAAGGUCACAGAGAGAGUGUUUUGAGGUCUGUAGAAGCAGAAGUUUUUUGGGGGAAGGGUCUAUUUGUCAACCCUUGUUAAUACCACACUGUUUUUGUUAUUAUGGCUUUGAUGUGUCUUUUUUUGUAUAUAUAUAUUUUUAUUGAAGUAUAGUCAAUUUACUAUGUGUCAGUUUCUAGUGUACAGCAUACUGCUUCAGUCAUACAUGAACAUAUACGUAUUCAUUUUCAUAUCCUUUUUCAUUAUAAGUCACUACAAGAUAUUGAAUAUAGUUCCCUGUGCUAUACAGUAUGAACUUGUUCAUCUAUUUUAUAUAUAAUUGUAAGUAUCUGCAAAUC